GCUGGCGGCAGCCCUUAUACAUGCAAGUCGAACGAGAAAGUUUCUUCGGAAGCGAGUAAAGUGGCGGACGGGUGAGUAACGCGUAGGAAUCUACCUUUCAGUGGGGGAUAGCUCGAGGAAACUCGAAUUAAUACCGCAUACACCCUUAGGGGGAAAGGGGGCCUCUCCUUGGAAGCUCUCGCUGUUAGAUGAGCCUGCGUGAGAUUAGUUUGUUGGUAAGGUAAUGGCUUACCAAGACUACGAUCUCUAGCUGGUCUGAGAGGACGAUCAGCCACACUGGGACUGAGACACGGCCCAGACUCCUACGGGAGGCAGCAGUAGGGAAUAUUGGACAAUGGGGGAAACCCUGAUCCAGGCAUGCCGCGUGUGUGAAGAAGGCCUUAGGGUUGUAAAGCACUUUAAGUGAGGAAGAAAAGAUUUAAGUUAAUAUCUUAAAUCCCUGACAUUACUCACAGAAUAAGGACCGGCUAACUCCGUGCCAGCAGCCGCGGUAAUACGGAGGGUCCAAGCGUUAAUCGGAAUUACUGGGCGUAAAGCGCGCGUAGAUGGUCUGUUUAGUUGGGUGUGAAAUCCCUGGGCUCAACCUAGGAACUGCAUUCAAAACUUACAGACUAGAGUACGAAAGAGGAGAGCAGAAUUCAUGGUGUAGCGGUGAAAUGCGUAGAUAUCAUGAGGAAUACCAGUGGCGAAGGCGGCUCUCUGGUUCGAGACUGACAUUGAGGUGCGAAAGCGUGGGUAGCAAACAGGAUUAGAUACCCUGGUAGUCCACGCCGUAAACGAUGAGAACUAGCCGUUGGAUCUUUAGAUUCAGUGGCGCAGCUAACGCAUUAAGUUCUCCGCC
rnacentral:rRNA from 1 species